GUGAUAGCUGGUUGCCUGUAAAACGAAUUUAAGUUCCCCCUCAGCCCCCUCCCUAAGACAAACCACCAAAUCCCCAUGCAGUGGGCUAAGAGCCAUUUAAAGGGGGUACAGCCCCUUUAAAAAAGGACACAACCUCCACUAGCGGAUAACCUCGCCUCACCCUAACCCUGUGGGCCUUAAAGCAGCCACCCCCAAAGAACGCGUCAAAGCUCCAUAAACCAAAAAUUCUAAAACUGUGUAAAUCCCUAACCCACAACAGGCCAACCUACAACUGUAGGUGAACCAAUGCUAAAACGAGUAACCAGGACACUAAGUCCCCUAAAGCGCCAACCUAUACACCAUUAACAGCACAACCACAAUACCAAGUCCCCGACCAAACAUUGAACUCACCCUGUUAGACCAACCCAGGAGCGCACAUUAGGACGAUUAAAACCCGCAAAAGGAACUCGG
rnacentral:rRNA from 1 species